rnacentral:rRNA from 1 species
AGAGGGCAUCUUCUUGUUUUUAAAAGACCUAGCAAUAGGUAUGCUUAGGGAGGAGCUUGCGUCACAUUAGUUAGUUGGUGGGGUAAAGGCCUAACAAGACUAUGAUGUGUAGCCGGGCUGAGAGGUUGAACGGCCACAUUGGGACUGAGACACGGCCCAAACUCCUACGGGAGGCAGCAGUAGGGAAUUUUCGGCAAUGGAGGAAACUCUGACCGAGCAACGCCGCGUGAACGAUGAAGUAUUUCGGUACGUAAAGUUCUUUUAUUAGGGAAGAAUAAAUGAUGGAAAAAUCAUUCUGACGGUACCUAAUGAAUAAGCCCCGGCUAACUAUGUGCCAGCAGCCGCGGUAAUACAUAGGGGGCAAGCGUUAUCCGGAAUUAUUGGGCGUAAAGGGUGCGUAGGCGGUUAAAUAAGUUUAUGGUCUAAGUGCAAUGCUCAACAUUGUGAUGCUAUAAAAACUGUUUAGCUAGAGUAAGAUAGAGGCAAGUGGAAUUCCAUGUGUAGUGGUAAAAUGCGUAAAUAUAUGGAGGAACACCAGUAGCGAAGGCGGCUUGCUGGGUCUUUACUGACGCUGAGGCACGAAAGCGUGGGGAGCAAACAGGAUUAGAUACCCUGGUAGUCCACGCCGUAAACGAUGAGUACUAAACGUUGGGUAAAACCAGUGUUGAAGUUAACACAUUAAGUACUCCGCCUGAGUAGUACGUACGCAAGUAUGAAACUUAAAGGAAUUGACGGGACUCCGCACAAGCGGUGGAUCAUGUUGUUUAAUUCGAAGGUACCCGAAAAACCUCACCAGGUCUUGACAUGCUUCUGCAAAGCUGUAGAAACACAGUGGAGGUUAUCAGUUGCACAGGUGGUGCAUGGUUGUCGUCAGCUCGUGUCGUGAGAUGUUGGGUUAAGUCCCGCAACGAGCGCAACCCUUAUUGUUAGUUACCAGCACGUAAUGGUGGGGACUUUAGCAAGACUGCCAGUGAUAAAUUGGAGGAAGGUGGGGACGACGUCAAAUCAUCAUGCCCCUUAUGACCUGGGCUACAAACGUGAUACAAUGGCUGUUACAAAGGGUAGCUGAAGCGCAAGUUUUUGGCAAAUCUCAAAAAAACAGUCUCAGUUCGGAUUGAAGUCUGCAACUCGACUUCAUGAAGUUGGAAUCGCUAGUAAUCGCGAAUCAGCAUGUCGCGGUGAAUACGUUCU